rnacentral:tRNA from 1 species
AGGGACUUAGGCUAACAUUUAAACCAAGAGCCUUCAAAGCUCUAAAUGGAGGUUAAAAUCUUCCAGUCUCUG